rnacentral:pre_miRNA from 1 species
GUUUUGUUAGAAGAUUAUGUAUUAGCUCAGGACUUCGUUAUUUCUUGCGUGACCUAUUGCAGGAGCCUUCUAAAUGGUUGU